UGGGUGUCCAGCUGUUCCUGCUAGGUGAUUGGGGCCACGAACAGACAGCACAUCAUGGAGCUGAUGUUGAAAUGCGUCUUUCUGUUUGCUAUUUUAAAAGGUGUCCAGGCGGAGGUGCAGCUGGUGGAGUCUGGAGGAGGCUUGGUGCGGCCUGGCGGGUCCCUGAGACUCUCCUGUGCAGCCUCUGGAUUCACUUUCAGUAGUCAUGCGAUGAGCUGGAUUCGGCAGGCCCCAGGGAAGGGGCUGGACUGGGUCUCAACAAUUAUCUAUGAUGGUAGUAGCACAUACUACGCAGACUCCGUGAAGGGCCGAUUCACCAUCUCCAGAGACAACAGCAAGAACACGCUGUAUCUGCAAAUGAACAACUUGAGAACUGAGGACACGGCCAUGUAUUACUGUGCAAGAGCACAGUGAGAGAAACCUCAAUGGUAGUUAGUACUGGU